UACUUACAUGAAGUCAGAUUGAUGUUACUUCACUAUAUUGUAUCUUUAUAUAUAGUCACUCAAGUAAUCUUUACAGUCAACAGAUGGCUUGGUCAAGUAGCCAGCAUGCGUCUCAAAACACCACCCAACAAGUGAGAAAACCUGGAGGUACUCCUGUAGAUCACAGUCGAAGACAAAUUCACUUACAUCACCAAUCACGCUCAACUGGUCACCAGUAAAAACACA